CGUGAUUUUUUUCAAGGGCCAGAGCGGCGCGGUCCCCGCCAGCGAAAAUAGAUUUUCGUUGGCGGUAGGAUAAGUGGUCCGUCAGCAAAAAUAUGGAUAUUUUUGCAAGCGGACUUCUAAACUCACCACCAGCGAAAAUAGAUUUUCACUAGCGGUCCUAAACCCACUAUCCCUCAUUAGAAUUUUGCAAGCAGAUUUCUUAUAUAACCGACAAUGAAAAAAUAUGAUACUGCCAUGAAAAAUCGUUUUUCUAGUAGUGUGUAACUAGUGUAAUUUUUUUUUUACAAACAAUAUUAUAUAUUUUUUUAAAUGAACAAUAUGAUAGUGCAAGGUUUCAUAUUGAUAUAGCAGGAAAAAUAGUACAAGAAAAUAACUCUGAGAGGCUAUAAUCAGGAAACAAACAAAAGGCCAGCCAAGCCAAGCGCCUAUGACACAAACACCCGUUACUGGGAGCAAACAGGAGCACGACACCCAACACACUCCUCUCUAUCCACAUCUAACGGUUGAAGGGGGGAGAGGGUGAGAGAGAAGAAUGAAUCCGCUCUUUCCCAAUAGGAACGCCAACGUUGGCAACUUAUAUGCCACCAUAAGAGGACAAAGUCUAGACAGGAGUUUGGCUGGAAAGACCUCCAAACGACGCAUUCAAUAAGGUUUCGAUGCUGAUGGUGCCGCCAUCCGCCACCUUGGAAACCAGGGUGUGGUUUUCACCUAAGGAUUCCACCAUGGAUGGGAGAGACGCCACGACAAUGCCCCUAGCGGGGUUACGGUGGUGUUCCAGAGCAUCCCCACUGUCGGCCCUGAAAGGACUUGGCUUCCUCCCAAAAUCUCCCAACCCUCGCAUGUCAAAGCGUCACCGUAAAAACUAGCGGCCCCACCCUCCGAACACCUUCGGCGCACGGCAACCGACCAACACCCCACUGUCCCCCGGCAAGCAAGCAAGAGGCCACUUUGAAGGGCCUCCUCCACGCUUCCUUCCACAAACCCCACUAACAUAGCCGCCUCUCCACUGCCUCGGGAGACCCAGCCUCACCGGCAAGCAAGCACGAGAGGAAGGAGACAAAUAUCGAUGGACACUCGGUAGUCGUCGAAGCCAUUCCCUCCCAACUGCAGCGCAACCAACAACGUCAUCCUCCCUUCAACGAGAGGAGAGGAGCAGCCACCACCAUUGUGGCAAGUUGCCACAGUUGCUCCCACCGAUCCCUCACCUUGAUGGUGGUGGCCACGCCGUCUACGAACACCAUUGCCAUCAGUCACCACUACACCAUGCGCUAGGCCACGAGGAUGCCGGAUAUGGCCUCGCUAGCACCAGAUCUGGUGAUGCUAGUGUCUAUCGUUGCAGCAGCUGCCGUCAUCAUCGUCGUCGUCGCCAUUAUUGUCGAUCUCCCGCUAAGCGGAUCUGAGUAGGCCCGGCCUGGAUGACCUCAGCCACCGAAUAUGUGGUCCAACCUCGACGAGCAUGUCGCGCCAGCCUUCCUCCACCGUCGGCCACAUCCCUCACCCCGCCGCACCACACGACCACCAACUCGCUACUAUUGUCUCGAUCCGCUGAUGAAAGCAACCACGAGGGACCAGAUGCGACCAAGCCGACGCCGGAUCUAGACACCAGUGUCCCUGCCUGCUGCUAGUCCUAAAGCACCGGCCUUGUUGGUGCCCUGGCUGCCAUGACUAUGAGCGAGGAGGGAGAGCCCUGCCGCCGCCAUCCUUGCAACCGACUGGCUUUGCCGAUGGCGAGGCGGAUGAGAGGAUGGGGAGGGAGGAGGUGGCAUGGCUGCUUAUAUUUCGACUUGUAUGGAUAUUGUGACUUGUAACUUAUAUUUUGCUUUUGUCUAUGGAUGUGUUUAGGCUUAUGUGCGUGGAUGGGUGUAAUUAUGAAUCUUGUGAUGCAUGUGGAUGUGAUGGAUGUGU
rnacentral:sRNA from 1 species